AGUACCUGAUCCACUGUUCCCUUCUCUCUGCAUAAAACAGGAGUUGACUGUGAGCAGAGCUGCACAACCAGCUUCACUGUUCCCAGGUAGACCCCGAGUGAUUACAGACUGGAUGACAAGGACGAAUGAAUGAAGCUUUUCUCCUCUGGUACAGUGUGACUGGUAUGAACACCUACCUUGUAGGGUUGUUGUGAGGAUUAAUUGAGAUAAUCCAUGUAAAGUGAUUAGCCCGAUGAAUGUUUGCUGUU
rnacentral:lncRNA from 1 species